UCCAGCUUUUUUACUGCAAUGCAAUUAU
rnacentral:piRNA from 1 species